ACUAACAGGAUUCCCCUAGUAACUGCGAGUGAAGAGGGAAAAGCUCAAAUUUAAAAUCUGGCUUCCUUAGGUUGUCCGAGUUGUAAUCUAGAGAAGUGUCAUCCGCGCCGGACCGUGUACAAGUCUCCUGGAACGGAGCGUCGUAGAGGGUGAGAAUCCCGUCUUUGACACGGACUACCGGGGCUUUGUGAUGCGCUCUCAAAGAGUCGAGUUGUUUGGGAAUGCAGCUCAAAAUGGGUGGUAAAUUCCAUCUAAAGCUAAAUAUUGGCGAGAGACCGAUAGCGAACAAGUACCGUGAGGGAAAGAUGAAAAGAACUUUGGAAAGAGAGUUAAACAGUACGUGAAAUUGCUGAAAGGGAAACGCUUGAAGUCAGUCGCGUUGGUCGAGAAUCAGCCUUGCUUUUGCAUGGCUUAUUUCACGGUUCAACGGGUCAGCAUCAAUUUUGACCAUUGGAUAAAGAUGAGAGGAAUGUGGCAUCUUUAGAUGUGUUAUAGCCUCUUGUUGCAUGCAGUGGUUGGGAUUGAGGAACUCAGCACGCCGCAAGGCCGGGAGUAAUCCACGUUCGUGCUUAGGAUGCUGGCAUAAUGGCUUUAAUCGACCCGUCUUGAAACACGGACCAAGGAGUCUAACAUGCCUGCAAGUGUUUGGGUGUAAAACCCAUGCGCGUAAUGAAAGUGAAAGUUGAGAUCCCUGUCGUGGGGAGCAUCGACGCCCGGACCAGACCUUUUGUGACGGAUCCGCGGUAGAGCAUGUAUGUUGGGACCCGAAAGAUGGUGAACUAUGCCUGAAUAGGGUGAAGCCAGAGGAAACUCUGGUGGAGGCUCGUAGCGAUUCUGACGUGCAAAUCGAUCGUCAAAUUUGGGUAUAGGGGCGAAAGACUAAUCG
rnacentral:rRNA from 1 species